rnacentral:rRNA from 1 species
GACGAACGCUGGCGGCGUGCUUAACACAUGCAAGUCGAGCGAGGCCCUCCUUCGGGGGGUGCCCUAGCGGCGAACGGGUGAGUAACACGUGGGCAACCUGCCCUCAGCUCUGGGAUAACUCCAAGAAAUUGGUGCUAAUACCGGAUGUGACCGCUGACCGCAUGGUCUGGUGGUGGAAAGAUUCAUCGGCUGGGGAUGGGCCCGCGGCCUAUCAGCUUGUUGGUGGGGCACGGCCCACCAAGGCGACGACGGGUAGCCGGCCUGAGAGGGUGACCGGCCACACUGGGACUGAGACACGGGCCCAGACUCCUACGGGAGGGCAGCAGUGGGGGAAUAUUGCGCAAU